rnacentral:lncRNA from 1 species
AGUUGUCCUUGUCAAGGACACAUCAGGAGCAGCGAAUAAGGGUUGCAGGAUUCCGAGCGACGAGCGACAAAAAAGAGGAGAGAAAAAGAAAAUUCUAGAAUCAUAUGUUGAGAGAGAAAGAAAGAGACAUCUUUGUUGGUUUGGGAGAUUAAAAAAAAAAAAAGAGAGAGAAAGAGGGUUGAAAAAUAUGGUUGAAAGAGAGAAAAUAGUUUUACUAAAAUAAAAAAGAAAAAAAAAUUAAAAACCAUGAGAAUUUAUGUAUAGGUAUAGAUUUUAACUGUAAGCGUGGACAUAACGCUUACAGUAGCGAUUUAAAAAAGGAGGGUGUAUUUCAAAAUAGGGAAAACUUCAAAAAUCUCCAUAUGGUUUCAUAGUUUUUCACUUUAGUACCCUAUGUUUUAAAGUGCACCAAGUUAGUACCAUAUGAUUUCGUACUUUUUUACUUUAGUACCCUCUGGUUUAAAGUGUAUCAAGUUAGUACUCCGUGGUUUCAUUUUUGAAUCAAGUUAGUACCCGUGGUUUUAUUUUUCCCUUUUUAUUAUACAUUUCGGAGUAUUUUUUUUAUUAAAUCAGUGAUAAAGUUAAAACUAAUUAAAGAGUACUAAAGUGAAUAUUCGAUAAACCUAGAUAGGAUAUCUGAAGUUUUUUGUAUAUAAUUUAAUGGAAUAUUAAACCACAUGGUACUAUAGUUAGAAAGUGCGAAACCACAGGGUAUUAACUUAAUACACUUUAAACCACAAGAUACUAAAGUGAGAAAAUACGAAACCACAGGGUACUAACUUGAUACCCUUUAAACCACAGGGUACUAAAGUGAGAAAGUGCGAAACUAUAUGGUACUAGCUUAAUACACUUUAAACCACAAGAUACUAAAGUGAGAAAAUACGAAACCACAGGGUACUAACUUGAUACCCUUUAAACCACAGGGUACUAAAGUGAGAAAGUGCGAAACUAUAUGGUACUAGCUUAAUACACUUUAAACCACAUGAUACUAAGUGAGAAAGUGCGAAACCACAUGGGGAAUUUGAAGUUUUCCUUUCAACAUAACCACAU